rnacentral:rRNA from 1 species
UGGGGAAUUUUGGACAAUGGGCGAAAGCCUGAUCCAGCAAUGCCGCGUGUGUGAAGAAGGCCUUCGGGUUGUAAAGCACUUUUGUCCGGAAAGAAAUCCUUGGCUCUAAUACAGUCGGGGGAUGACGGUACCGGAAGAAUAAGCACCGGCUAACUACGUGCCAGCAGCCGCGGUAAUACGUAGGGUGCAAGCGUUAAUCGGAAUUACUGGGCGUAAAGCGUGCGCAGGCGGUUUGCUAAGACCGAUGUGAAAUCCCCGGGCUCAACCUGGGAACUGCAUUGGUGACUGGCAGGCUAGAGUAUGGCAGAGGGGGGUAGAAUUCCACGUGUAGCAGUGAAAUGCGUAGAGAUGUGGAGGAAUACCGAUGGCGAAGGCAGCCCCCCUGGGCCAAUACUGACGCUCAUGCACGAAAGCGUGGGGAGCAAACAGGAUUAGAUACCCUGGUAGUCCACGCCCUAAAACGAUGUCAACUAGUUGUUGGGGAUUCAUUUCCUUAGUAACGUAGCUAACGCGUGAAGUUGACCGCCUGGGGAGUACGGUCGCAAGAUUAAAACUCAAAUGAA